rnacentral:lncRNA from 1 species
GAAAGAGAGACAUCGAUGAGAAGAUACAGAUUCAGUGUUUAUCCCAAGCUUUGCCCACACUUAGCCCCAUCAUGAAAGCAUGGCUGGAUAAGCGGUGCAUGGGUCUGAUCCAAACCAGAGAACCCCAGGCCGCUGAAGUGGAACACCCAAACUUAACCACUACACCACCAGGCCGGCCCGGAGAAGAUGUUUUUUAACCUAACCCAUGGAUAAAGAAAGUCCAAAUAAGAGUUCUUGGCAAAUGACAUGUGGCAAGUGGCAACCGAGAAAGAAUGCUCUCUGCAGCUGAUUCAGGAGAAUCUUCCUGAGACUUUGGACUACUCCAUCUUAGCCUUGUGCCAGGUUAACACCACUGCUGCUUUCUGCAAAAGGAGCCAAGCAAUAAAAGGGCAGCUUUGUCAGAUCUCAAAGUUGGAGAAUCGCCCUGAGAGGGAGUUGCCCUGGAUCCUUUGGCUUCAUGUAUAUGUGACAAACUACCCAGCUGAUGUUUUCACCUGAGAGAAAAAGGUAACUAAAAUAUCAC